rnacentral:lncRNA from 1 species
GAUCGUCAGCCAUGUCACUCUCAGUACUUGCAAUCGAAAUUGAGUCGGUUUCUUCUUCAAAGUCUGAUUCUGUCUCUGAGUCAUGGUCUGUUUGGGCAAACAGAACCUCGUCAGCAGCUACAGCACCGGGCUUCUCCUCGACGAACUGCUCCGUUCGAUCCGAUAGGUCGGACUGUGAACCCAGUAGAUCCAGUAGCUUCCUCGCC